rnacentral:rRNA from 1 species
UACAGAGGUCUCAAGCGUUGUUCGGAUUUACUGGGCGUAAAGGGCGCGUAGGCGGUAGCACAAGUCAGUUGUGAAAUCUCCGGGCUUAACUCGGAAGGGUCAACUGAUACUGUGCGACUAGAGUGCAGAAGGGGCAACUGGAAUUCUCGGUGUAGCGGUGAAAUGCGUAGAUAUCGAGAGGAACACCUGCGGCGAAGGCGGGUUGCUGGGCUGACACUGACGCUGAGGCGCGAAAGCCAGGGGAGCGAACGGG